rnacentral:rRNA from 1 species
AACGAACGCUGGCGGCAGGCCUAACACAUGCAAGUCGAGCGCGCCCUUCGGGGUGAGCGGCGGACGGGUGAGUAACGCGUGGGAACGUGCCCUUUUCUACGGAAUAGCCUCGGGAAACUGAGAGUAAUACCGUAUACGCCCUUUGGGGGAAAGAUUUAUCGGAAAAGGAUCGGCCCGCGUUGGAUUAGGUAGUUGGUGGGGUAAUGGCCUACCAAGCCGACGAUCCAUAGCUGGUUUGAGAGGAUGAUCAGCCACACUGGGACUGAGACACGGCCCAGACUCCUACGGGAGGCAGCAGUGGGGAAUCUUAGACAAUGGGGGCAACCCUGAUCUAGCCAUGCAGCGUGAGUGAUGAAGGCCUUAGGGUUGUAAAGCUCUUUCAGCUGGGAAGAUAAUGACGGUACCAGCAGAAGAAGCCCCGGCUAACUCCGUG